rnacentral:rRNA from 1 species
GAUGAACGCUAGCUACAGGCUUAACACAUGCAAGUCGAGGGGAAACGGCAUCGAAAGCUUGCUUUUGAUGGGCGUCGACCGGCGCACGGGUGAGUAACGCGUAUCCAACCUGCCCAUCACUUGGGAAUAACCUUGCGAAAGUAAGACUAAUGCCCAAUGACAUCCCACGAAGGCAUCCGAAUGGGAUUAAAGAUUUAUCGGUGAUGGAUGGGGAUGCGUCUGAUUAGCUUGUUGGCGGGGUGACGGCCCACCAAGGCAACGAUCAGUAGGGGUUCUGAGAGGAAGGUCCACCACAUUGGAACUGAGACACGGUCCAAACUCCUACGGGAGGCAGCAGUGAGGAAUAUUGGUCAAUGGGCGAGAGCCUGAACCAGCCAAGUAGCGUGCAGGAUGACGGCCCUAUGGGUUGUAAACUGCUUUUAUAAGGGAAUAAAGUGGGUCACGUGUGACUUUUUGCAUGUACCUUAUGAAUAAGGACCGGCUAAUUCCGUG